rnacentral:rRNA from 1 species
AACAUUUUCUUUAGGAAAAAUUAAAGGUAAUGCCUGCUCGAUGAAGAUUAAAUUGCCGCAGUAUAAUGACUGUGCUAAGGUAGCAUAAUAAUUUGUCUUUUAAAUGAAGACUGGAAUGAAAGGUUUCAUAGGGAGUUGCUAAUGAUUUUAAUAAUUUUUGAAUUUAAGAUUUAUUUUAAAAUUAGUAGAUGUUUCUAAGGGACGAGAAGACCCUGUGGAUCUUUAAUAAAUGUUUUAUUACUUAGAAUUAAAAAGUUUAGAAAAUUUUAUUUGAGCUGGGACGGCGGUUUUAUCAAAUAUUAAUUAGAUUAUUAAGAUCCUGUAUAAGGAAGGAAGAUUAAGUUACCCCAGGGAUAACAGCGUAAUAAUAUUGGAGAGUUCAUAUUGAUAAUAUUGUUUGCGACCUCGAUGUUGAAUUAAAAUUUCUCUUUGAAGCAGAAGUUAUAGAAAGUAAGUCUGUUCGACUUUUAAAAUUUUACGUGAUC